rnacentral:lncRNA from 1 species
UUUUUUUUUUUUUUUUUGAAGUAAAAAUUUUUAUUUUGAUUUUUCAAUGUGCAGUUCAAUGUAAUGCUUGUUUUGGGUGGCAAAAAUUUGAAUCCUUGUGGUUUCGAUGUGCAUUUCCCUAAUGAGUAAUGAUGUUGGGCAUCUUCUCGUAGGCUUAUUAGCCAUCUCUAUAUUUUCUUUGGGGAAAUGUCCACUUGAGUCCUUUACUCAUUUUUGAUUUGGGCUGUGUUUUUUGGUUUAGUUGUAGGUGUUCUUUAUAUAUUCUGGAUAUUAAUCUCUUACCAGAUAGAUGUUUUCUCAGUCAGUCAUCUUUGCACAUUGUUGAUAUAUCAUAUCCUUUGAUGCAUGAACUUUUUAAUUUUGAGGAAAUCCAGUUCAACUAUUUUUUCUUCUUUGUUGCCUGCACAUUUUGACUACACAUCCAAGAAAUCAUCACCAAAUCCAGUGUCCUGAAGAUCGAUCCUGUGUUUUAGGUUUAGGCUUUUGAUGCAUUCUUCGUUAAUUUUUGUAUUGGUAUUAGUAAGAGUCAACAUCCUGCUUUCACUUGCAGAGACACAGUUUUCACAGCACCAUGUGUUGAAAGCGCUCUUCUUUUCCCAUUAAACGAUCAUGGCACCCUUGUCAAAAUCCAUUGACCAUUUAUUUCCAGGCUUUUUGUUGUCAUUCAUUGGUCUGUAUGUCCAGACUUAGGCCACACUGUGUUGAUUUCUGUAGCUUUGUAGUAAGUUUUAGAAUCAGGAAGCAUGGGCAGCCCUGGUGGUGCAGCGGUUUAGUGCUGCCUUCCGCCCAAGGUGUGAUCCUGGAGACCCUGGAUCGAGUCCCAUGUCGGGUUCCCUGCAAGGAGCCUGUUUCUCCCUCUGCCUGUGUCUCUGCCUCUCUGUGUGUGUGUCUCUAUGAAUAAAUAAGUAAAAUCUUUUUUUUCUUUUUUUUUAAGAUUUUUAUUUUUAUUUAUUUAUGAUAGACAUAGAGAGAGAGAGAGAGGCAGAGACACAGGCAGAGGGAGAAGCAGGCUCCAUGCCAGGACCCUGACACGGGACUCGAUCCUGGGACUCCAGGAUCGCGCCCUGGGCCAAAGGCCGGCGCGAAACCGCUGAGCCACCCAGGGAUCCCCAAAUAAAUAAAAUCUUAAAAAAAAAUGUUUAGAAUCAGGAAGCAUGAACCUCCAACUUUGCUCUUUUUCAUUUCACAUCUUCUAGGGUCCUUACAUCUUCCUCUGAAUUUGAUGAUUGAAUUCUCCAUUUCUGGAAAAAAGGGCUAUUAAAAUUUUGACAGGGACUGCAUUGAAUUGGCAGGUCAUUUUGAGUAGUAUUGCCAUCUUAACAAUGUUAGUACUCUGAUCCAUGGACGUGUGAUGUGUUUCCGUUUAUUUGUGUCUUACUGCUUUCCGUGAUGUUUUAUACUUUUCAGCACACAAAUCUUUUGUCCCCUUGCUGAAGUGUAUUUCUAGGUUGUUUCUGGAGGGGAGGGGGUUCUUUGUUAUUGUUGAUUUAUAAAUGGGAUUGUGCGCCUUGGUUUAUUCUUAGUGUAUGGAAACAAAACUGAUUUUUAUGUGAUUUAAUUUCUGUGACUUUGCUGAAUUUAUUACUUCUAACAGUACUUUGUGGAGUCUUCUGAGUUCCUAAGUUUUGAUGAUUUUACAUAAAAUCAUGUCCUUGGUGGACAAAGAUAAUUUUACUUCUUUUGUCUAAUUUGGAUGCUGUUUUUUAUGCACACACAAUUGCUCUGCCUAGAACUUCCAAUAUUGUGUUGAACCGAAGUGGUAAAAGUGGCCUCUUUCUCAUUUCUGAUCUUAGGGGAAAUACUUUUUUUUUUUACCUUUUUUUUUUUUUUUUUUUUAGCUUUUUCACCAUUGAGUAUGAUGUUUGCUUUGGGCUUUUUAUAUGUGGCCUUACUAUGCUGAAAAAAUUUCUUUGUAUUCCUUGUUUGUUGAGCACUUUUAUCAUGACAGUGUGUUGAAUUUUGAAAAGUGCUUUUCCUGCGUUGGUUGAGCCAAUCCUGUGGGCUUUACCCCUUUGUUCCGUUAGCGUGGUGUCACAGGGAGUGAGCUGGAGACUGAGCCAUCCUUGCAUUCCAGGAACCACUUCUACUUGGCUGGGGUGUACCAUCUUUCUAACUCAGGAGUGCAUGCAGUUUCCUGGUAUUUGCUGAGAAUUUUGCCUCAAGGUUCAUGAGGGUUGUUUUCAUAGCUCUCUUUUCUUGUAGAGUCUUUGGCUUUGGUAUCAGGGCCAUGUUGGCUUCAGGGAAAGUGUUAGGGAAGUGUUCCCUCCUCAACAUUUGGGGAGAAUUUAAGGAUUGGUAGUCACUGGUUUCUAAAUUAAAUCCGUGGCAGCGUUCACCAGUGAAGCCAGGUGGUCCUGGGCUUUUGCUGGGAGGCUUUUGUUUUUGUGGGGUUUUUUUUUUAAGAUUUUAUUUAUUCAUGAGAUACACACACAGAGAGGUAGAGAGAGGCAGAGACACAGGCAGAAGGAGAAGCAGGCUCCAUGCAGGGAACCUGACAGACUCGAUCCUGGGUCUCCAGGAUCAUGCUCUGGGCUGAAGGCCGUGCUAAACCUCUGAGCCACCCAGGCUACCCCAUGCUGGGAGGCUUUUGAUCACUGAUUCAGUCUCUGUAGUAAUUACAGGACUAUGAGAUGUCCUAUUUCUUCACAAUUCAGCUUGGGCAGGUUGUGCAUGUUGAGGGGUUUGCCCAUCCAUCUAGGUUGUCUACUACAUCAGUACACAGCAGGUGCAGGGUUUAUAGCGGUGACCCAGGCAGACACAUCCCACCUCCAAGAAGCUCAGGUGCCAGAGCAGAUGCCAGGCAGUAAUGCUUUGGGGGUGGGAGAUGUCAGAAAGGAGCUACUAGUUUGGGGUUGGAUGUGUGCUUUUGUAACACAGGAAGCCACCCGGUGAAUGCCAGGAGAGUUGUCAGAGCAGGCCCUUGGGAGAUGUGGCCCAAGCCAAUCUGGUCCAGAACCCAAUGAAAUGAACAUUGACCCAUGGGGACUUUGGAAGCCUUGUGGGUUUUUCUGGUAGGUAAUGAGUAUGCUCUUCUGGUUGACCAUCUCUGGGAUGGCCCUGUGAUGUUUGGAAUCAGGAAGUUUGUAGACAAAAGCCCCUCAGCCCAGCGACUCUGUAAUUUACCAUCCAAAAUGGUGCUGUUAAUAAAACAAAAGAACAGGGCAAACCGGUUACUCUGGGAAAACCGGCACCAGGGUGACACAUAACCCACACGUGGGUCAGUCAGGGUGGAGAGAUGGGUCUCUACAAACACCAGGAGUAAAUUGGAGUGACAAAGCCUGGGUAGGUCUGCUGUGGUGCCACCAGGUCUUAGCACAGUGGGCCAGGGCCAUCGCAGGCGGUGUCCUGAAGCAGCUAGCACUCUGCCUGGGGAAUUUCCAGCCAGCCCCCAGUGGACUUCCCAAGAUGUCACUGCGCAGUCCAGUACACAGCACAGGGUGACAUGCCUGGUGCAGAGUCUGCUUUGCCUUGUGUUCAGGUCCUGGCUGAGUGAGAUGCUGGUGAGAGGUAGGGCGGAGGCCUAGUUGGCAGCAGCCAGGGGCCCUCGUGGUGACAGCAGAGCAGCCUCUGCAAGGCUCGCUCCACCAAGUGGGGAGGAAGGAGCAAAGACUGAAAGGCGUACAUUAGGUAUUGCACAAAGGAUCCACAGCAGAGUAAGAUGGCUGGGAGAGAGCCACUCCGAGGGCAGGCAUCAGGAGAGCCAGGGUCCUGGGCCCGCCCACGCAGGGUGGUGAGAGGCCUCCUCAGGAGCCAGGAGCACAGAGGGCGAGGACGUGUCUGCAGCUCCCCUUGCACGUGCAGGGGCUAACAGGCGAGGGUGGGAGCGGUCAAUUAGUUCUUAAAUGUCUGCCCCUGCAUGGGUUUUGAAGGUCAAAAAUCCAGGAUAUUAAUCUGUUGACUGGACCCCCGGACCAACUGAGGGCACGUUAAGAUACAAGAGAAAACAUCGUCGUGGGAGCGGGUCCGGGAAACCCGAAGCCCGCUGUGCCAUCCCACCGGCCAACCUGCGCCUCCCGCCCCUCGGCCAGCCUUCCAGUGAGGAGACAAGACGGCGCCCCACAACCCCGGGCAGCGGCUUCUCCCCUCACCUGUGGGAUGAGUUCCUGGCCGCCCUGGCCCUGAGCCCGACCUGGCUCUGCAGACCGCCGUCCUCCCCACCCCAGCAGCCCGUCAGCCUGUUGUUUCUGGUGUCCUUAGCUGAUACAGCCUCAUGUACACACACCUGCACUGCGCCCCGAAAGGUAAGUGCCACGGAAGUGCGGCCUCUGCCGCCCUCGGAGUCUGGGGCCCUCGAGCCGGGCAGGCACCGCCAUGUGCAGCCACACUGGGCAGGCACGCGCACGGCCACAGGGAGGGGCUAGGGUCACAGCGGAGUGCAGAGUGGUGGGGAGCCACCAGGGUGCUGCCGGGUGCGAGGCCGGGUGCGAUGCCGGGCGCAGUCCGCCGCCGAGGUCCCCAGGCGUCCGUGGGCAGCCUCCCCAGGGACCGCUCCCGGUCUGAGCGCACUCUGGGAAGUUACUGCAAUAAACCUGUUACUUUUG